rnacentral:lncRNA from 1 species
CCAACAUAUAGUAUAAUAUCCAGGGCUCAUCCCAUCAAGUUCUAGGAGGGGAUUUAAAGGGAAGAAGGUCCAUACAGACACAGUAUCAACUCUGCUGUCAUUGCCCCUCAUGUUUCAUCCAACAAACCUCUCCUAUUAUUUCCAGAGACCUCACUAUCCUUCUGUCACCACCUUGGCUUUCACAUAUUUGUUUCCUGAUUACCCUUUUGUGCUCUGGUGAUGGACAGGUGAGUGAUUGUACAGUACACCUCCUGGUAUGUUUGGUGAAGAUGUCUAUUAGGAUUUGCUGA